CCUAAUCCUUGUAUGAAUGAAAACUGAAAUUAUCCCUAAUGUUUGUCACCUGUAAGGUAUUACAAGGCAGCAUAAAUCUGUGUUUUUUUUAAAGCCAGAGGUUGGUCUGUAUGUAACUACAUGCAAUACAUUGAAUUACAACCCAGUAAAUUCCCUAAUCUGGAAACUGCUAGGUUUUAAUGGCCAUAGUUUAUUUUAAGCUGUCAAAGGU